AAAACUUUACAAUGCGGGCAACCGUGAUAAGGGAACCUCGAGUGCCUGUAUAUGCAGGCUGUUCAGGUGUCUAAAACACACCUGAAGAAAGGGCCGGGCAAGACCGGUGCCAGCCGCCGCGGUAAUACCGGCGGCUCGAGUGGUGGCCACUUUUAUUGGGCUUAAAGCGUUCGUAGCUGGGUUGUUAAGUCUCUUGGGAAAUCUGGCGGCUUAACCGUCAGGCGUCUAAGGGAUACUGGCAAUCUUGGAACCGGGAGAGGUGAGGGGUACUUCGGGGGGUAGGAGUGAAAUCCUGUAAUCCUCGAGGGACCACCUGUGGCGAAGGCGCCUCACCAGAACGGCUUCGACAGUGAGGGACGAAAGCUGGGGGAGCAAACCGGAUUAGAUACCCGGGUAGUCCCAGCCGUAGACGAUGUGCGUUAGGUGUAUCGGUGACCACGAGUCACCGAGGUGCCGAAGGGAAACCGUGAAACGUACCGCCUGGGAAGUACGGUCGCAAGGCUGAAACUUAAAGGAAUUGGCGGGGGAGCACCACAACGGGUGGAGCNUGCGGUUUAAUUGGACUCAACGCCGGAAAUCUCACCGGAUAAGACAGCGGAAUGAUUGCCGGGCUGAAGACUCUGCAUGACUAGCUGAGAGGAGGUGCAUGGCCGUCGUCAGUUCGUACUGUGAAGCAUCCUGUUUAGUCAGGCAACGAGCGAGACCCACGCCAACAGUUGCCAGCAUGGCCUCCGGGCUGAUGGGGACACUGUUGGGACCGCCUCUGCUAAAGGGGAGGAAGGAAUGGGCAACGGUAGGUCAGCAUGCCCCGAAUUAUCCGAGCUACACGCGGGCUACAAUGGGCAGGACAAUGGGUAUCGACACCGAAAGGUGAAGGCAAUCUCUUAAACCUGUCCUUAGUUCGGAUUGUGGGCUGUAACUCGCCCACAUGAAGCUGGAAUCCGUAGUAAUCGCGUUUCAAAAUAACGCGGUGAAUGUGUCCCUGCUCC
rnacentral:rRNA from 1 species